rnacentral:rRNA from 1 species
GACGUAGGGCGCGAGCGUUGUCCGGAUUUAUUGGGCGUAAAGAGCCCGUAGGCGGCUUGUCGCGUCGACUGUGAAAACCCGCGGCUCAACCGUGUGGCUUGCAGUUGAUACGGGCAGGCUAGAGUUCGGUAGGGGAGACUGGAAUUCCUGGUGUAGCGGUGAAAUGCGCAGAUAUCAGGAGGAACACCGGUGGCGAAGGCGGGUCUCUGGGCCGAUACUGACGCUGAGGAGCGAAAGCGUGGGGAGCGAACAGG